rnacentral:lncRNA from 1 species
UAAAUCUAAACGAAACGACAAACGAUGCGCCCGAAGUUAAAGCUUAGAUAUUACUCGACAAACGGAACUUACAAAUCGGCCGAACAUCGUGUCAAUGCAGCCCUGUCAAUCCGUACGAACUCGUGAAAAUAAAAAGUUUUUGGCGAAGUCGCCGACUUGAAAGUAAAGUACGAGGAAUAAGUAGAUUUGCUGUAUUGAUUGAUGUUGUUCUACAAAUCUCUAGAGACGGCUAUAAUAGCUGUUACAACCAAUUUCCUAACCGUCUAGGAUCUAUCUCUAAUUUCAAAUGAUAAUAAAUAUUUACAAAUACAACUCGUAUCAGAGUUGGUUAUCAUACUCCCACGGG